rnacentral:rRNA from 1 species
UGGGGAAUUUUGCGCAAUGGGGGAAACCCUGACGCAGCAACGCCGCGUGCGGGAUGACGGCCUUCGGGUUGUAAACCGCUUUCAGUGGGGAAGAAUUCAGACGGUACCCACAGAAGAAGCUCCGGCUAACUACGUGCCAGCAGCCGCGGUAAUACGUAGGGAGCAAGCGUUAUCCGGAUUCAUUGGGCGUAAAGCGCGCGUAGGCGGCUUGUUAAGUCAGGUGUCAAAUCCAGAGGCUCAACCUCUGUUCGCACCUGAAACUGGCAGGCUUGAGUUUGGUAGAGGAAAACGGAAUUCCCAGUGUAGCGGUGAAAUGCGCAGAUAUUGGGAAGAACACCGGUGGCGAAGGCGGUUUUCUGGGCCAUAACUGACGCUGAGGUGCGAAAGCUAGGGGAGCGAACAGG